AACGAACGCUGGCGGCAUGCCUAACACAUGCAAGUCGAACGAGACCUUCGGGUCUAGUGGCGCACAGGUGCGUAACGCGUGGGAACCUGCCCUUAGGUUCGGAAUAACUCCCCGAAAGGGGUGCUAAUACCGGAUAAUGUCUUCGGACCAAAGAUUUAUCGCCUUUGGAUGGGCCCGCGUUGGAUUAGCUAGUUGGUAGGGUAAAAGCCUACCAAGGCGACGAUCCAUAGCUGGUCUGAGAGGAUGAUCAGCCACACUGGGACUGAGACACGGCCCAGACUCCUACGGGAGGCAGCAGUGGGGAAUAUUGGACAAUGGGCGAAAGCAUGAUCCAGCAAUGCCGCGUGAGUGAUGAAGGCCUUAGGGUUGUAAAGCUCUUUUACCCGGGAUAAUAAUGACAGUACCGGGAGAAUAAGCUCCGGCUAACUCCGUG
rnacentral:rRNA from 1 species